GACAUGGGGUAGCUGCUUCUUCAGAGAGGAGCUUUGGCUACACCCACUGAUUGCAUUCAAUGCUGAAGCCUCGUCCUGUCUCCCAGCUGGUUGCUCAGCGGGUAGCGCCGCAGUUCGCCUCGCCCACGCUGCUGCCCAAGAAGGACAAGAAGGACAGAACGGACCAGGAGAAGAAUGACAAAGAGCCCACAGUGAAGAAGAACAGCCACAAGAAGAUGAGGUAAACAUUCACAGAUAAACAACUGUUUAUCAUGAACCUGUUGCAUUUAACCUGUAGUAGUAGUAUGAUAGUGUGAGUAGUAGUAUGAUAGUGUGAUUAGUAGUAUGAUAGUGUGUAUAGUAGUAUGAUAGUGUGAGUAGUAGUAUGAUAGUGUGAGUAGUAGUAUGAUAGUGUGAGUAGUAGUAUGAUAGUGUGAGUAGUAGUAUGAUGGUGUGAUUAGUAGUAUGAUAGUGUGAGUAGUAGUAUGAUAGUGUGAUUAGUAGUAUGAUAGUGUGAGUAGUAGUAUGAUAGUGUGAGUAGUAGUAUGAUAGUGUGAGUAGUAGUAUGAUAGUGUGAGUAGUAGUAUGAUAGUGUGAGUAGUAGUAUGAUAGUGUGAGUAGUAGUAUGAUAGUGUGAAUAGUAGUAGUAUGAUAGUGUGAUUAGUAGUAUGAUGGUGUGAUUAGUACUAUGAUAGUGUGAGUAGUAGUAGUAGUAUGAUGGU
rnacentral:lncRNA from 1 species